CGUACACAAAAAUGCACAUACUGUGAGCUCGAUGAGUAGGGCGGGACACGUGGUAUCCUGUCUGAAUAUGGGGGGACCAUCCUCCAAGGCUAAAUACACCUGACUGACCGAUAGUGAACCAGUACCGUGAGGGAAAGGCGAAAAGAACCCCGGCGAGGGGAGUGAAAAAGAACCUGAAACCGUGUACGUACAAGCAGUGGGAGCCUCUUAAUGGGGUGACUGCGUACCUUUUGUAUAAUGGGUCAGCGACUUAUAUUCUGUAGCAAGGUUAACCGAAUAGGGGAGCCGAAGGGAAACCGAGUCUUAACUGGGCGUUAAGUUGCAGGGUAUAGACCCGAAACCCGGUGAUCUAGCCAUGGGCAGGUUGAAGGUUGGGUAACACUAACUGGAGGACCGAACCGACUAAUGUUGAAAAAUUAGCGGAUGACUUGUGGCUGGGGGUGAAAGGCCAAUCAAACCGGGAGAUAGCUGGUUCUCCCCGAAAGCUAUUUAGGUAGCGCCUCGUGAAUUCAUCUCCGGGGGUAGAGCACUGUUUCGGCAAGGGGGUCAUCCCGACUUACCAACCCGAUGCAAACUGCGAAUACCGGAGAAUGUUAUCACGGGAGACACACGGCGGGUGCUAACGUCCGUCGUGAAGAGGGAAACAACCCAGACCGCCAGCUAAGGUCCCAAAGUCAUGGUUAAGUGGGAAACGAUGUGGGAAGGCCCAGACAGCCAGGAUGUUGGCUUAGAAGCAGCCAUCAUUUAAAGAAAGCGUAAUAGCUCACUGGUCGAGUCGGCCUGCGCGGAAGAUGUAACGGGGCUAAACCAUGCACCGAAGCUGCGGCAGCGACACUAUGUGUUGUUGGGUAGGGGAGCG
rnacentral:rRNA from 1 species